rnacentral:rRNA from 1 species
GACGAACGCUGGCGGCGUGCUUAACACAUGCAAGUCGAACGGAAAGGCCCUGCUUUUGUGGGGUGCUCGAGUGGCGAACGGGUGAGUAACACGUGAGUAACCUGCCCUUGACUUUGGGAUAACUUCAGGAAACUGGGGCUAAUACCGGAUAGGAGCUCCUGCUGCAUGGUGGGGGUUGGAAAGUUUCGGCGGUUGGGGAUGGACUCGCGGCUUAUCAGCUUGUUGGUGGGGUAGUGGCUUACCAAGGCUUUGACGGGUAGCCGGCCUGAGAGGGUGACCGGGCAAAUUGGGGAUGAGGAAAGGGCCAAAAUCCCACGGGGGGCAGGAGGGGGGAAAAUUUGAAAAAGGGGGGAAAGCUGAAGGAAGAAACCCGGGGGGGGGAUGAAGGGCUUUGGGGUUGAAAACCGUUUCGGCGGGGAAGAAGGGGGAGGGAAGGGAAAUGGUAAAAAAAGAACGGGCAAAAAAGGG